rnacentral:rRNA from 1 species
UACGUAGGGGGCAAGCGUUGGUCCGGAUUUAUUGGGCGUAAAGAGCGUGUAGGCGGUCAGGUAGGUCCGUUGUGAAAACUCGAGGCUCAACCUCGAGACGCCGAUGGAAACCAUCUGACUAGAGUCCGGAAGAGGAGAGUGGAAUUCCUGGUGUAGCGGUGAAAUUCGUAGAUAUUGGGAAGAACACCAGUGGCGAAGGCGGCUAACUGGUCCAGCACUGACGCUGAGGUGCGAAAGCGUGGGGAGCAAACAGG